UACGUAGGGUGCAAGCGUUAAUCGGAAUUACUGGGCGUAAAGCGUGCGCAGGCGGUGAUGUAAGACAGUUGUGAAAUCCCCGGGCCCAACCUGGGAACUGCAUCUGUGACUGCAUCGCUGGAGUGCGGCAGAGGGGGAUGGAAUUCCGCGUGUAGCAGUGAAAUGCGUAGAUAUGCGGAGGAACACCGAUGGCGAAGGCAAUCCCCUGGGCCUGCACUGACGCUCAUGCACGAAAGCGUGGGGAGCAAACAGG
rnacentral:rRNA from 1 species